rnacentral:misc_RNA from 2 species
CAACCCUCAGGUCCCCCUUUUCGGAGGGGGAGACACCCUGGUGUUGGGGGACGGCCUGGCCUUCUGCGCCGCGCCGCCCCCGAAAUGAAUUGGCGGCCUCGUCGCGUGCCACCCCUGCGUAGUAGCACAACCUCGCAACGGGAGCCCGACGCGGCCACUGCCGUAAAACGCCCAACUUUUAAG